rnacentral:rRNA from 1 species
GACGAACGCUGGCGGCGUGCUUAACACAUGCAAGUCGAACGGAAAGGCCCUGCUUGCAGGGUACUCGAGUGGCGAACGGGUGAGUAACACGUGGGUGAUCUGCCCUGCACUUCGGGAUAAGCCUGGGAAACUGGGUCUAAUACCGGAUAGGAGCCAUUUUUAGUGUGAUGGUUGGAAAGUUUUUUCGGUGUAGGAUGAGCUCGCGGCCUAUCAGCUUGUUGGUGGGGUAAUGGCCUACCAAGGCGGCGACGGGUAGCCGGCCUGAGAGGGUGGACGGCCACAUUGGGACUGAGAUACGGCCCAGACUCCUACGGGAGGCAGCAGUGGGGAAUAUUGCACAAUGGGCGCAAGCCUGAUGCAGCGACGCCGCGUGGGGGAUGACGGCCUUCGGGUUGUAAACUCCUUUCGCUAGGGACGAAGCUUUUUGUGACGGUACCUAGAUAAGAAGCACCGGCUAGCUACGUG